UUUUUGGGCCCUGGGCGGUCGGCAUGGUUGCCCUCCCUCAGGGCCGGGCCUGCAGAUGGAUGGAGUUUCCAUAACAUAGAUGAACUCAGCCACAGUAGAUGACCAAGAUAAUUGGGUAACAUCAAAAGAAUCAAGGGAUUAAAAGAAGAGCGUGCACUUUUUGUUAGUCUUUGCAGUCACAUGAUUCAACACACAGAAGAGGGAUUUGACAAGUUUUUGCUAUCUUUGAGUAUUGUCUAGUUGGGAAACCCUCUUGGCUCUUACUUUCUGAUAUAGUGAUAGAAAAAAUUUCUUGUUCAGCUUAAUAGCUUAUCCAAUCCAUUCCAAAACAUCAUCUCCUUCCUUUUUUCCCCGUUCUUCCUCCUACUGAUCAAGAUCCCCACAUGUCUGAUUCGUCUUUUUCUCUAUUGAUGGAGAUUUUAAACUUUAUCCAAGCUGCUUCAAAAAUGUAAGCUCACGUCGAUGGAGCUGAUUGUUGUGAUGAAUCUUCGUUGUCUCCUCAGUGUUGUUCAAUGGUUAGAUCAUCUUUAAAUGCCAAACUCAAACAAAAUUCAAUGCUAGGUAAAGCUUUCCGAAAUAGUAUGAUUUUUGUAAUACCAUUUUCAGAUCUUUUUACUUUAUUGCCUUUUAUCAUUUUCUCCAUGUUGUAUAGAUUGUUUUGUUUUAUAUGUGAUAGUCCACAUGCUUCAUAAUGAUAAGGAGAACAAUAAGUCUUUGGAUUUAAAUGGUUACAUCAUCCUGGCUAAGUUUCUAAUCUCUGUUGUUUGCAGCAUCAGUUUAUGAAGUUAAAUCUAUAAAUUUUAGGAUUGAUUGUCAAAACUUAGUUAUACAUAUAAAUUCUGCUUUCUGAGAGUAUAGAUUUCUGUUUUGGAUACAGUCAACACAUUAUACAAGUGCCAAUAGUACUGAUGUUGCUCGAUUUUUUAACGUGCUUGAGAUCAUAUCAGUGCUUGAGAUCAUUUCACCACUGGGGCUCUUAGCAAGAGAUUGGAUUUGGAUUGGCUGCUCGAUUCUCUCAAUUUGAAUGGUGUCCCCCAAAGGAACGCCAUAUUAGAACUUUAAAUAAAUUUUGAAGUCUCCUUAUUCAGAACAAUCUAUUCAAACUGCUUCGCCUGUGGCAAUCUCGAUCCCUCCAGCAGCGCCAGUAUGCUUUCUCCUGUACUGGUAUCUACGAGCGCAAUAUAAAAAGAUGAAAA